ensembl:lncRNA
GAAAAAUAAACAUAUUUCAAAUAUGAAAUCAUUCUUGUGUGGACAAAAAUAGAAAACAAACAAUAAUAGAAAUUAUUCUGAACCAAAAUGACAAAAAUGGCAUAAAAACACAUCGAUUCUUAUAUGGGUCAUUUUGGACCCACUUAUUGAAGAGAGUAGGAUCCAAUCACUGGAGCAACUGAGGCUUAAAGAGAUAAUAACUGUAGCAAAAUGCUGCUCAGUGUGAAAAGUUUAACCACCCAACCUCAGAAUCUCGGUGCAUUCAACUGUCCUGUUUUUCCUCCUUUCUCUGCCUCCUGAGUGAGUUUCUCUGUCUUUGCCUGCGAGUGAGCUGAGAAAACUGUCAAAGAUGUGUUCCCAUGACAACCUCCAUCCAGCAUUAGAAACAUGAAGUGUAAGGGAAUAUCUAAAUGUGUGUGAAAGGGAAAGAGAGCGAGAGGGAGAGAGGGCGAAAUAGACACAUGAUGUGGGUGGAAGCAGUUUCAAAGGCAGCACAGAGAAACUUGGACAUAAAUAUAAAGUACAUGUGGUUGAAAGGUAUCCAUUAAUGUGACCGGUGUAGUUUCUAUGACCAUAUAUGCACACAGAAAUACACCACCGUUUAAAAGUUGUCCUUAUUUAUCCUUAUAAUGUCCUUAUUUUUGAAAGAAAAAAAUUUUUUUUCAAUGAAGAUCACAUUAAAUGAAUGAUAAAUCCAGUGUAGACAUUGUUAAUGUGGUAAAUGACUAUUGUAGCUGGAAACAGCUGAUUUUUAAUGGAAUAUCUCCAUAGAGGUACAGAGGAACAUUUCCAGCAACCAUCACUCCUGUGUUCUAAUGCUACAUUGUGUUAGCUAAUGGUGUUGAAAGGCUCAUUGAUGAUAAGAAAACCCUUGUGCAGUUAUCUUAGCACAUGGAUAAAAGUGGGAGUUUUCAUGGAAAACAUGAAAUUGCCUGGGUGACCACAAACUUUUGAACAACAGUGUAUAAACACACCAUUUUAAUCUCUUUAAACAUUACAGAAAGUGACCCCCUUUAACAUUUUUUUCCAAUCUUUCCAAACAUCCCACGAGGGCACCUUCAUUUUAUAUCCUCACAUGAAUUUUGAAGCAAAAUAAAGUUGUAUCCCAGGCUGAGGUCCCAGAGCACAGAUUACACUGGGUGUGUUUGUGUUUGUUAUUGGCGUCACGUCCAGCUCAGCAAUGAAGGACUUCCACAAGUGUUGCCACUAGAAAACGUUGCAAGAGCUCAAAAUGAUGGACCUCAUUUACAUUUGGCACAGUGGUAAUUUACUCCUGCCUCGCUGAGAUUAUCAUCUUGGGUUCAGUUAUGAAAACAGCUAUAAAUAGGUCAUGUUUCAGGAGAAAGCCUCUGUCUCCUGUAAAAUUCAUGUUGUGACAUGUUUCUGGCACCUGUCAGCUCAUGGCUCAAGGUGUCAUUCUGCACUUCUCACCUUCAGCGCUGAUAGAAAUUGUUCACACCCCAUGGAAGUUUUCAGCGUUUCACCAUUGAAUCACAGUCGAUUUAAUGUGGCUUGAAAUGAAAACAUAUUCCUACAAUGAAAUGUCAUUUUACCAAAAAUCCAAAAUGUCACCACUUUAAGUCAGUAGUCAGUAGAUGUAUGGAAGCAAAUCAGACUCAUCAGAUUCUGAAUUUUAAAAGCUGCUGAAUUUCUUACUUUGAAUUUUUUUGCAUCAAAAUUUCGUAUGUGAAUUUUUUAUGCCUGAAUUUAGCUCAUCAAAAUUCUAAAAACCAGUUAAAAAUUCAAUGUCUUCAAAAUUCGCCAUCAAAAAAAUUCAAUGUCUUCAAAAUUCACCAUCAAAAAAAUUUGAUGUGUUCAAAAUUCACCAUCAAAAAAUUCAAUGUUCAAAAUUCGCCAUCAAAAAAUUCAGUGUUCAAAAUUCGCCAUCAAAAAAUUCAAUGUUAAAAAAUUUGCUGUCAAAAAAUUCGCUGUUCACAUCUGGGGGACUCAGGCGUAAACAAUCGAUCCUGGCCAAAAUCGAACCAACGCCCAGCCAAUCACGUGGCGCUCCUCCGGUCAUGUGACGUAGACGGUUCACCUCACAAGACCGGGGUCAACCACGGCUACCAGCAUGAACGACGGCGCUUCAAUGCACAAUGAGGGACGUCUGCAGAGACUGAGAAAGAGUCUCACCACAUCCUGACAUGAGGAAAAAGACUUUAUUGAAGACUACAAUGAGAAAAACUAUCAGACAGCAGACGGCUGCAUUCAAGUCUGUAGCUGCUGAAUUCAUGGAUGAAUCAUCUGGCACUAGAGAGGAAGACCAUCAAACAUCCACGUCAGCUGAUGGAGGUCCAAGAGUCUCACCCAACAAACAACCUACAGAGUGAAGACCUCGAAUCUGAUUGGACGGCCUCCUAUUCAGCCACAUUUUAGGCUGUUAGAUUGUUCCAGAUAAGACGAGUACAAGAUUCUUCAGAGCCGUUCUACCAUGAGCCUGACAGGAAGAACUGCAACAGCUACUGAAUGUUCCUGUGGUUCCCUCAAGGCUACAGGAGGAGUCCUAAGAGGACGAGCCGGUCCACCUGAUGGCGGCCAGUCGCUGUGGUUCAAAGCCAACACCGACUACGUGGACUUCUACUGGACCACAUGGAGGCCUUCAAACUGGACCAACAAGUUCACAGACUCCCCGACUCGUGGGUCUGAGGACGCCGCUGAGCCUCGGUCCAGCCGGCCUCCUGUCUGUGGGUGUUUGAGUGCUGAGAGGUUUGUGGAUGCAUGUGAAUGUUCUGUGUUGAAACAGCAGCUUUGGACUCAGUAACGCCGGGAAAAACCAAGAGCUCCUUUAUUUGUGACUUCCACUAAAAAACUGAAGAAAAUAAGUUUGACAGGGUUCUGACUGAUAACAGAUUAUUAAAUAAUGAAAGUAAUCGUUUAAAUAUUCCUUUAAACAAACCUUUUAGGUCUACAUUUCCUUUACACUGACUUCUUGGUAUUUUGGGUGGAAUAUACCAUUAAGCCCAAUGUUCAAGGGUUCUUCUGGGAAUAUACCAUUAAACCAACCUUUUAGGAAAAUGUUCCAAGAUGUUGGGUAG